UACGGAGGGGGCUAGCGUUGUUCGGAAUUACUGGGCGUAAAGCGCGCGUAGGCGGGUCUGCAAGUCGGGGGUGAAAUCCCGAGGCUCAACCUCGGAACUGCCCUCGAUACUGCGGGUCUCGAGUCCGGGAGAGGUGAGUGGAAUUCCUAGUGUAGAGGUGAAAUUCGUAGAUAUUAGGAAGAACACCAGUGGCGAAGGCGGCUCACUGGCCCGGUACUGACGCUGAGGCGCGAAAGCGUGGGGAGCAAACAGG
rnacentral:rRNA from 1 species